UCUAACCAAGUAGCCUUAGAAUCCAAAUUCCUUUGUUUUUCUUCUUCAACCCCCCCCAAACCCUAACCCUAAAAACUGGAAAUUUCGUCUGAUUUCCAAUUUAGUGUUUAACUGAAGUCGCUUCGUUUCGAAUUUCAGCUAAUGGCCAGCGGCUCCAAUGAACCCACGCGUCGCAAGCACCGCCGCUCUCCUUCUGACGACGAGAACAACGACGCCGAAGCACCUUCGAAACGGCGGAAGCACCGCCACCAUAAACAUCACCGGCAUCAUCGCCACCACCAUCACCACCGCAGCAAGAAGGAGGACAGAGUUGAGGACGCAACAGCUGAAGCUGAAAUCGAGAUGGAAGAGAAUCUAGAAGAGGAACGGAAGAGUAAUGAGAAUGCGGUGGUUGAUGCUGCAACUGGUGGCACAACUAGUGCGGCUGUUAUUUCUGGUUCAGUUUUGGGGAUUGAUUAUGAUAUGGAAGAAGGAGAGAUUGUUGAUGAGGGUGAGGGUGGUGGUGGUGGUUCUCGUAUCGAUGGAGAUGAGGUGAAAAAGGAGAAAGAGCGUGGUUCUGAUGUGGAGUCUGGAGAGAUUGGGGCUGUUCGCGGCGGCCAUUCUGACAAUUCUCACAUGAAGGUGGAUGUAUAUCAAGAGGAGAAGAAUCGUACCUGUUGUUUGCCUUCUGAAGAAGGUAUGAAUGAAGAGGAUGGAAAGAUGGGGGCAUCGAGUGAUUUUAGGAUUGAUGGGGAAGAUGAUGGAUGUUUUGCGAGGAAGAAAUAUAAUGAUUUGGGUCAGGAAAGAACUUCCAGAACUGAACAUAUUUCUAAUGGUGAGUUUGUGCAUGAAUACCGUAAGGAUGAGUUAACUGUUGAAGAACAUAGUUGGAGAAAUGACUACUCUAAUGAAGAAAGUAUUUUGAGGGAGACUAAUGAAUUGUUAGCUGAAGGUGGGCAAAAAAGGGAUUUCUCAAGGUCACCGUUACGGGACAGACACCGUGAAAGGGUUCGAAGUGGGAGCUGUCCAAAGUCACGUGAUCAGUCUCGAGGAAGGUCUAGGUCCCAAAGCAUUUUCCGAGAGGGUUCUUUACUCAAUACACCAAAAACAUAUAACUAUUAUUCACGAAGAAAGAAUAGGAGUGAUUCAGAUGAGGAGCAUGAAUCCAGCAGGGAUUACCAACCUGCCAGCAGAGAAUCAUUUAGGGAUGAAGAAAGGAGUUACAGCAGACACAGUAGUCGGUCAACAAGGCAUCAUAGUCGAGAAAUGCGGGACAGGGAUAGAGAGGGCAGCCGGGAUGUGGACAGAGACAGGACAAGAGACAGAGAGCGAGAGAGGACAAGGGAGAAGGAGCGGGAGAGGGAAAGGGCUAGGGAGCGGGAGAAAGAGAGGGAGAGGGAAAAGGAGAGAGAGAGGCACAGGGACUGGGAGAGGGAGAAGGAGAGGGAAAGGAGGAGGGAGCGGGAUAGAGGUAGCAGCCGAGAUAGAAAUAGGGAUAGAGAUAGUCAAAGGUCCUUUAGGAACUCUAAACACAAUCACGCUGAUGAUGGCUAUGGUGAGCAAGAUAGGAUUGACGAUUACAGGCAUAGGAGGCACGAUGAAGCCAGUCACAAGGAUAGGAUAAGUGUAAGUGAUACUGAAAAAAUUGAUGGUUCUAAGAAGCAUAUGGCUGGAAGGGAAAAUGAGAAGUCUGGAAGAGAUGAAAAUGAACAAGAAGACUACCAAGAAAAAAUUGUGUUGCGACUAGCAGAACAGGAAGAAGAUGACCUUGAAAAAAUUAAAGAGGAAAGUAGGAGGCGAAGCGAAGCUAUACUAGAAAAAUAUAGAAGUCAGAAAUCACAGCAGCACUCCGAAGCUAAAAUAGAAAAUACAGUAAAAGAGCAAGGAGAACAGCCAUUAGUGAUGGCACCAUCUGUUAGUGUUGCUCUUGAAUCUAAUUAUCUUCGAAAUGAGGGCCAAGAUGACUAUGUUGCUGACCCAUCCUUUUCUGUUGGAAAAUCCCCUCCACCAAAUGGGGUUUCUACUAUUGAGAAGCCUUCUGAUACUGGUGGACUCGGAGCCGGUACUCCAAAGAGUGAAAGACCUAAUGAUAUGUUCUCUGAUGAUAUAUUUGGAGAGUCUCCUGCUGGUGUUCGUAAAACGGGUAAGGGUGAUGGUUUAGCAAUUGAAAGGAGUGGCCUACAUGACAAUUGGGAUGAUGCAGAAGGGUACUAUAGCUAUCGGUUUGGAGAAUUACUUGAUGGUCGAUAUGAAAUCAUUGCUGCACAUGGCAAAGGUGUCUUCUCUACAGUAGUUCGUGCUAGGGAUCUUAAGGCCAAAUCUGGUGAUCCUGAAGAAGCAGCGAUAAAAAUCAUUCGCAAUAAUGAGACCAUGUUGAAGGCUGGCAUGGAUGAACUGGUCAUAUUAAAAAAGUUGGCUGGUGCUGACCCUGAGAACAAACGCCAUUGUGUUCGAUUUGUUUCCAGCUUUAAGUAUCGGAAUCAUCUCUGUUUAGUUUUUGAAUCUCUUCAUAUGAAUCUUCGUGAGGUUUUGAAGAAGUUUGGUCGUAAUAUUGGGCUUAAAUUAACUGCUGUAAGGGCAUAUGCAAAGCAGCUCUUCAUUGCACUGAAACAUCUAAAGAAUUGUGGUGUGCUUCAUUGUGAUAUUAAGCCUGAUAAUAUGCUGGUGAAUGAAGCAAAGAAUGUAUUGAAGCUUUGUGACUUUGGCAAUGCCAUGUUUGCUGGUAAAAAUGAAAUUACUCCAUAUCUUGUGAGUCGAUUUUAUCGUGCCCCAGAAAUAAUUCUGGGUCUGCCAUAUGAUCAUCCCAUGGAUAUGUGGUCAGUCGGUUGCUGUUUAUUUGAGAUUUACACUGGAAAAGUUCUUUUUCCUGGUCCUACAAAUAAUGACAUGCUUCGCCUUCAUAUGGAGCUUAAGGGCGCAUUUCCAAAGAAGAUGGUUCGUAAGGGUGGAUUUAAGGACAAGCACUUUGAUCAGGGGCUGAAUUUUCUUGCCACUGAGGAGGACCCUGUCACAAAGAAGGCUGUAAAGAGGCUGAUUCUUAAUGUUAAGCCAAAAGAUUUUGGAACUUUGAUUGUGGGUUCUCCUGGUGAGGAUCCAAAGAUGUUAGCCAACUUUAAAGAUCUUCUUGAUAAGAUAUUCAUGUUGGAUCCUGAUAAAAGAAUCACCGUAUCACAAGCAUUGAGCCAUCCAUUCAUCACUGGCAAGUGAAAUAUUGAUGCUGAUUUGUGACUACCGAAAUGCUGUUGGGCUUGAUAUUUGAAUAUCAUAUGACUGCAUUUAUAUAUUGUUCUCUAAUCAUUGGGCAUUAAUGUCUGUCUUCUUUGUGCUGGCUAUAAGAGCUUUAGAAACGGUGCUUGGCAUGUUGAACGCAAUUGUGGUGAUGUUUGAUUGGAAGAGAGCUCGUACUUGGCGCUUCUGUCAGUGGAGUGUUUUCUGUUUCUAUUGGUACCAUCUCUGCUAUGAGGCAACGGUUCAGUGCUUUAGAUGCUUAAAAGUCAACCUGGAGAAGGUAUUUUGGUUUGUUUGCUAGGUGUUUAUUGUGAGACGGAUGAAUCUAUGCUUUUGCAUAUAUUUCUUUGAUGUCAGAUUUGGCUUAUCACUGACGUUCAUUUAAAGCCAUUUCAAGCGAAUCAUUUUGUCAUGUGACCUUGUGUGUCUUGGCUUUUCUUUUGAUUACAUGUAGUGUGUAGAACUUUCUUAGUGGUUGUGUAUACAUAGAAGUGAUUUUGAAAAAUCUAUGGUUCCCAUUCUUACUGAAAGUUGUUUUGAAGCAUUAUUGUUUGGUGCAUGCUGUAAACUGAUUUGUUUUGGCAUGAAAUUUAUCCUUUGCUGAGAUCUCUGUGAUUGUGUGUGUCAUUUCUGUUUCUUUGAUGGUCCCCAUUCUAAUGAGGUUGCAUUACUUCUGAUCUAUGAUUUGGCCAUUCUGGAGGAAUAUAUGCUUUGGAGGUUAUUGGAUGCUGUUCCAGGUGGAUUUUUUUAGGUUAUGGCAUUGUGAUUGCUGAUAUCCUGUAAGUAUAUUCUUAUUUUUCAUCUCCUUUGUCAUUAGUUGGUUUCUGAUGUCAAGCUAUUUCUGGUUCCAACUAUGUUUUUAACUCCUCCAACCUGUACAUGUGUGAAUUUUUGUAGAUUUAUGCUGUUUAGCAAGCUAUUUCUGAUAGUAAGUUCUUCUUAAUCUAUAUUUUGAUACUUUCCUUUGCCUUGGUCUCUGGCACCUGAGCAGAGUGGGAAUUUUUUCUUUGAAUCUGCUUUUUAUAGAUGGUUUGUUUUUAACUCUUCAUGUUUAUGGGGUAUUAUAGUGGGAUAAAUGUAGACCUGGAGCUGUCAUUAGGCUGAAAGUACAUCCUUGAGGGGAAAGAAUUAGGUCAUGGGAAUUUUGACGUCUAAUUGUUAUAAAUCCUUUUCAAAUCAAUUAUAUUAAGGCAUAAUGUGCAAGUUUUUUCAAGCGAGCGAUUUGCAAUGCUUAUGACUUGCAAGAAAUUUCUAAUAACCUUGUAUCAAGCAUAUUAGAGAGACAUGCGUGAAAUCUUCUUCAGCAAGCAUACAAGUCUGACUUGAUGUGAAUGCAGCAUAGGAUAUACAUUAUCCAAGAUAUGAUAGUCGGCAAAAAAUUAGGUAGAUCAGAGGGAGUAAUGUGGGUUGGUAGGAGUAACAGAGUAGCUUUGUAAUUGUGGAAAUAGGCUUGGAUGAAAAAAAGAAGCCAAUAAGGGUGUAUAUUGGGCACUUUACAUGUACCUAUUAAGCCUGAUUACCUGGGCAGUUUUUUGUACUAGGCGAUCGAAGCCUGAUUACACGUGCAAACCAAUGAGAUGAUCAUUUACUAACAGGUGUUAUCAUAUUUUUCAAAAAAAAAACUGCGUCAAAGAACAAAUCACAGAGUCUAUGAACUGAACUGGUUUUUAGAUAAUCUUUUAGCAACAAAAUAUUUUUUCCAGUCACUUGGCUUUCAGUGCAUAAGCUUGCAGCCUCAGAUUUAGCAUACAUUUGUUCCAUAACAGGCAUUUUGAUGACCUUAGUGGAGUUUGAGCUUUUAAGAUAAGAGCAGUAGGGUAGUGGAACUACUAAACCAUUUUGUAGUGGGAUUCUUGGCAUCCACUUCCAAGUAUAUUUGUAAUUUUUUUGGUUGAGCUUCCUUUUCUCCUGAGUACUAGAUGACCCACGGGUAUCAGCAUACAUGACGGAUCUUGAUAUGGCAUGGAAAUCUUAAAUUUGACAAAUGUGUACUUGGUAAGUUCAAUUACUUGUGGGUCUGGUGAAUUUCAGAGCGGCAGACAUACUGAGGGUUGAGUCCUCCAUAUUAUAUCUAAUUGUUUUUAGCUUGAUAGUUUUCCGGGGAUGAGGUUACAUGGGAUAAUAUCAUCAACCCUUUUAUUCUGGAAAAUGAGGUUGAGAACUGAAAAAGUGAAUACCCAUGUAUUUGUUGUAGACGAGGUAGGACAGUGGCUACUCUGGUGUUUCUUGCCUUUGAGUAAUACUUAAUAUGGUCAGUGAAAUGCAACAUUCCUUUAGUUCAAUUAGCCUUUUUUUUAAAUGAAGAAGAGAAUGACAGGAGUUGUCAGGUUGUAAUGGAUUUUAGGAACUGAUAUUAGAUUUCAACUGAUAUGAAAUAGAUCACAACUUGUAUGAAUUUGUCAAGGAUGGAGUUUAGGAGUAUUGGUUGCUUCUUUUCUACAUCUGGAUAUUGAUAACUCAGAGAGGAAGCUUUUUGCAAGGAAACACAAGUUAAGCACAGACGACAUGGACAGAAUAAACAGAACAUACCAGCUGGGUCUCUUUUCAGUUUGCUGGCUGUUUGCUCUUGAGAUUAUUUUUGGCGGCUUACGAUAGUUUUUGAUUGCAGUAAGAAAUAAAGGAAGUCUCAGCUGAGGUCAUCUGGUGUGAAUAAAAAAUGUACAAUUUUGUCUUUCUGGCACUUCAUCCCUCUGACCUUCAACUUUUAGGUGCAGAAAUUUGUAAGAAUGCAUGAAUUGCUAUGGCAAGUAAUGUGAUAUUCUUUUGCC